CCAUGCAAGUCGAGGGGUAACAUUGUGCUUGCACAGAUGACGACCGGCGAACGGGUGCGUAACGCGUAUAGAAUCUGCCUUGUACAGGAGGAUAGCCUUUAGAAAUGAAGAUUAACACUCCAUAAUGUAUUGAAGAGGCAUCUCUUUAAUAUUAAACAUUUAUGGGUACAAGAUGACUAUGCGUCCUAUUAGCUAGAUGGUAAGGUAACGGCUUACCAUGGCAACGAUAGGUAGGGGGUCUGAGAGGAUUAUCCCCCACACUGGUACUGAGACACGGACCAGACUCCUACGGGAGGCAGCAGUGAGGAAUAUUGGUCAAUGGAGGCAACUCUGAACCAGCCAUGCCGCGUGCAGGAUGACUGCCCUAUGGGUUGUAAACUGCUUUUAUACAGGAAGAAACAGUCGUACGUGUACGGCCUUGACGGUACUGUAAGAAUAAGGACCGGCUAACUCCGUGCCAGCAGCCGCGGUAAUACGGAGGGUCCAAGCGUUAUCCGGAAUCAUUGGGUUUAAAGGGUCCGCAGGCGGUCAAUUAAGUCAGAGGUGAAAGCCCAUCGCUCAACGAUGGAACUGCCUUUGAUACUGGUUGACUUGAGUUAUACGGAAGUAGAUAGAAUAAGUAGUGUAGCGGUGAAAUGCAUAGAUAUUACUUAGAAUACCGAUUGCGAAGGCGGUCUACUACGUGUAUACUGACGCUCAUGGACGAAAGCGUGGGGAGCGAACAGGAUUAGAUACCCUUGGUAGUCC
rnacentral:rRNA from 1 species